rnacentral:misc_RNA from 1 species
AUUAAAUUACAAAAAUGUGGGCUUAAUUACAUGUGGAAAAUUUUGUUCCCACUAAAAGAACAACCGUUACAAAUCUAACAUAAAAUUUAUAUUGUUCAAUCAUCCACAAAAUCAUCAGCUUAUCUGAAAUAAAAGAUGGAUUGUUAAUUCUUUGAUUUUCUUGUUGUCAAACAACUUGAGAUCUAAAACGUGUUAAGGUUGUUGGGAAGAACAUUUGUCGAACACCUUCUGCCUUUAUGAUAGGGAAAAUGAUUCCUGAUGCAACCGAAAUCAUUCUAGCCCCAAUCCAUAUGUGUGGAACUGAAGGAAAUGGAACCAAUAAGCGGCCAACACCAUAGAGAGCUACGACAAAGAAAUGGAGAACCAAAUUCAG